AUAAUGUUAUUUGAUUAUGAAUUUCUAUUUUGUUUGAUAAAGCUUUUUUUGCGCAGGAGUCUGCUAUUUCAUUUCCUUUUAUUCCACAGUGACCAGGGAUCCACUCCAGGUAUACCUCUAUACCUUUAUAUUUGAGUCUUGUACUAAUAGUUAGAAUUUCUGUAAUGAUAGGAUCGUCUUUCCGAUUCUGUAAAGAUAAAAGUGCACUUAAUGAAUCACUGAAAAUAACAACACCUGUAUAUAUAUCUAAAUAUUCUAUCCAUUCCAGUGCGAGAACAAUCGCAAUUAAUUCAGCCCUAUAGGAGGACGUGAAAUUCGAUAGUCUUUUGCCUUGGUAACAGGAAAAAUAAGAAAACCAUACUGCACAAUCAUCAGCAUAUAUGGAUAAUGUCACUUCAGGAUCAAUUGGAAUAUCUCUCAUCAUGACAUUAUAUAGAAGGGGACUCAGAACACUCCCCUGGGGGAGUCCGUUAUGGAUUUGAAAUGUUCUGGAUUCAGUAUUUGUAACUCUUACCUGAAAG